rnacentral:rRNA from 1 species
AAACCAGCACCUCAAGUGGUCAGGAUGAUUAUUGGGCCUAAAGCAUCCGUAGCCUGCUCUGUAAGUUUUCGGUUAAAUCUGUACGCUUAACGUACAGGCUGUCGGGAAUACUGCAGAGCUAGGGAGUGGGAGAGGUAGACGGUACUCGGGAGGAAGUGGUAAAAUGCUUUGAUCUCUCGAUGACCACCUGUGGCGAAGGCGGUCUACCAGAACACGUCCGACGGUGAGGGAUGAAAGCUGGGGGAGCAAACCGGAUUAGAUACCCGUGUAGUCC